AAGGUCAAGCGCAAGAGUAAGAACUACACAAGGAGUUAGAGUACCUUAGCAAAACUUUGCUAUCAGGUUGAGCUGUGAUGGGCGAUGAAGUAUUGCUGAGUGGAGUUUUUGUCGAACUUAAAGUAGGCUCAGAAAGGAUACAUGUCUUCAUACAUGUAUCUCAGUUAUGCAUUCCGCUGUAAACACUGAUUAUUUCAGUUACGCCUUCCGUUGCAAACUCUGAUAAUGUUUUAGCCAAGCCCCUAACGAUGCCUUUUUCCUUUUUAAGGAAUAUUUCACGCGUAUUCAA